GUCUCCACCCGAGACUCAGUGAAAUUGAACUCGCUGUGAAGAUGCAGUGUACCCGCGGCUAGACGGAAAGACCCCGUGAACCUUUACUAUAGCUUGACACUGAACAUUGAGCCUUGAUGUGUAGGAUAGGUGGGAGGCUUUGAAGCGUGGACGCCAGUCUGCGUGGAGCCAACCUUGAAAUACCACCCUUUAAUGUUUGAUGUUCUAACGUUGGCCCCUUACCGGGGUUGCGGACAGUGUCUGGUGGGUAGUUUGACUGGGGCGGUCUCCUCCCAAAGCGUAACGGAGGAGCACGAAGGUUAGCUAAUCCUGGUCGGACAUCAGGAGGUUAGUGC
rnacentral:rRNA from 1 species